CAAAUUAAUGACGCUUAACACCUGCUUUCUACAGGAAUACUUCAGAAUCACUCCUGGAAAUUUCAUCAAGAGAAAAAACAUUGAAGUUGGCUAUCCUCAACUAUUUCCAGAGGACUACAUUUAACUAGAGGCUGCUCCUGUCAUUCCUUCCUGUGACUUAAUAGAAAUUCUGUCUAAGCUGGUUCAGAUAGCUAUUGGAAACAGCAGAUAAUAAC
rnacentral:lncRNA from 1 species